rnacentral:rRNA from 1 species
UACAGAGGCCUCGAGCGUUAGGCGGAAUCACUGGGCUUAAAGCGUGUGUAGGUGGAUGCCUAAGUACCUUGUGAAAUCCCUCGGCUCAACUGAGGAACUGCCUUUGAAACUGUCUGGCUUGAGGCCGGGAGAGGGUAGCGGAAUUCCCAGUGUAGCGGUGAAAUGCGUAGAUAUCUGGAGGAACACCGGUGGCGAAGGCGGCAUCCUGGACCAACACUGACGCUGAGUGAGCGAAAGCCAGGGGAGCAAACGGG